AACGAACGCUGGCGGCAGGCCUAAAACAUGCAAGUCGAACGGGUGUAGCAAUACAUCAGUGGCGCACGGGUGAGUAACGCGUGGGAACGUGCCCUUCAGUACGGGACUACGUCGGGAAACUGACGCUAAUACCGUAUAAUAUCUCCGGAUCAAAGAUUUAUCGCUGAGGGAGCGGCCCGCGUCUGAUUAGCUAGUUGGUGAGGUAAUGGCUCACCAAGGCUACGAUCAGUAGCAGGUCUGAGAGGAUGAUCUGCCACACUGGGACUGAGACACGGCCCAGACUCCUACGGGAGGCAGCAGUUAGGAAUAUUGGACAAUGGGGGAAACCCUGAUCCAGCCAUGCCGCGUGUGUGAUGAAGGCCCUAGGGUUGUAAAGCACUUUCGUUGGGGAUGAUAAUGACCGUACCCAAAGAAGAAGCCACGGUUAAAUUCGUGCCAGCCGCCGCUGUAA
rnacentral:rRNA from 1 species